GAUGAAGAACGCAGCAAAAUGCGAUAAGUAAUGUGAAUUGCAGAAUUCAGUGAAUCAUCGAAUCUUUGAACGCACAUUGCGCCCGCUGGUAUUCCGGCGGGCAUGCCUGUUCGAGCGUCAUUUCAACCCUCAAGCCCCCGGGUUUGGUGUUGGGGAUCGGCUCUGCCCUUCUGGGCGGUGCCGCCCCCGAAAUACAUUGGCGGUCUCGCUGCAGCCUCCAUUGCGUAGUAGCUAACACCUCACAACUGGAACGCGGCGCGGCCAUGCCGUAAAACCCCAACUUCUGAAUGUUGACCUCGGAUCAGGUAGGAAUACCCGCUGAACUUAAGCAUAUCAAUAAGCGGAGGA
rnacentral:misc_RNA from 1 species